rnacentral:tRNA from 1 species
GCGGGGAUAGCUCAGUUGGGAGAGCGACAGACUGAAGAUCUGUAGGUCGUGUGUUCAAUCCACACUCACCGCA